UACGGGGGGGGCAAGCGUUGUUCGGAAUUACUGGGCGUAAAGGGCUCGUAGGCGGCCAACUAAGUCGGAUGUGAAAUCCCCAGGCUUAACCUGGGAACUGCAUCCGAUACUGGAUGGCUUGAAUCCGGGAGAGGGAUGCGGAAUUCCAGGUGUAGCGGUGAAAUGCGUAAAUAUCUGGAGGAACACCGGUGGCGAAGGCGGCAUCCUGGACCGGCAUUGACGCUGAGGAGCGAAAGCCAGGGGAGCAAACGGG
rnacentral:rRNA from 1 species